rnacentral:rRNA from 1 species
AGAUUGAACGCUGGCGGCAUGCCUUACACAUGCAAGUCGAACGGUAGAGUAGCAAUACUCGAGAGUGGCGAACGGGUGAGUAAUAUAUCGGAACGUGCCCAGUCGUGGGGGAUAACGUAGAGAAAUUUACGCUAAUACCGCAUACGAUCUAAGGAUGAAAGCGGGGGAUCGACAAGACCUCGCGCGAUUGGAGCGGCUGAUAUCAGAUUAGGGUUGUUGGUAGAAGGUAAAAGCUCAACCAAGACCGACGAUCUGUAGCGUUGGUUUGAGAGACGG